rnacentral:rRNA from 1 species
UGGGGAAUAUUGCACAAUGGGCGCAAGCCUGAUGCAGCCAUGCCGCGUGUGUGAAGAAGGCCUUCGGGUUGUAAAGCACUUUCAGCGAGGAGGAAGGGUAGUGUGUUAAUAGCACAUUGCAUUGACGUUACUCGCAGAAAAAGCACCGGCUAACUCCGUGCCAGCAGCCGCGGUAAUACGGAGGGUGCAAGCGUUAAUCGGAAUUACUGGGCGUAAAGCGCACGCAGGCGGUUUGUUAAGUCAGAUGUGAAAUCCCCGCGCUUAACGUGGGAACUGCAUUUGAAACUGGCAAGCUAGAGUCUUGUAGAGGGGGGUAGAAUUCCAGGUGUAGCGGUGAAAUGCGUAGAGAUCUGGAGGAAUACCGGUGGCGAAGGCGGCCCCCUGGACAAAGACUGACGCUCAGGUGCGAAAGCGUGGGGAGCAAACA